AAAGUCGUAACAAGGUCUCCGUUGGUGAAACCAGCGGAGGGGAUCAUUUACCCGAGUUUUACAAACCCCCCAAACCCCCAUCGUGAACAUACCAAUUGUUGCCUCGGCGGAUCAGCCCGCUCCCCGGUAAAAACGGGACGGCCCGCCAGAGGACCCCCUAAACUCUGUUUCUAUAUGUAACUUCUGAGUAAAACCAUAAAUAAAUCAAAA
rnacentral:misc_RNA from 1 species